GGCCGGUCUUGCAGGCCCCGUCGGCCACCCGCGCCCUUGGUCCCGCCUCGGAGCCUCGGCCCCAGCUCCGGCCCCGACACGGGAGCUGCUCUUCCCUCGCGGAAGCGGUGCCGCCUGGCCCGCGGCAGCGCAGACGCCCUGCCUUGCCCUCAGGCUGGCCGGGCCGCCUGUGGCCGGAGAAAGCCCCAUUGUGGCCUGAGUGCGCCCCGCAGCCAGUCGGGAUUUCUCUCGCAGAGAGAGGCCUUUGUUCGCCUCACCCCAUCUGACUGCCCCGUGCUCUGUCCCAGCCUCAUUUGCUCCCCAAGCCCCAACCUGGGUUCCUGCUCUGGCAACAAGGAGCAGGCUGUUCCCGCCGCAGCAGAAUAUAAAGUGCUGAAGCCAGAACCCAGACUGGGACGCAAGGCCCAGAACCUGCGCAGGGGCCACCGGCAAUCGGCCACCAUGCCCCUGCCCUGCUGUGCCUCGACUUACCCAUCUGCUGCUGGGGUAAUCCUAACCAUCUCUUACUGAGGGACCCUGAGUGCCUUGUUCAAGUUCAG
rnacentral:lncRNA from 1 species